rnacentral:lncRNA from 1 species
UCUAAGGACCAGAUGUGCCUCUUCUUAUACUGGGCUUUGAUACCGAGCACGCUAAGAUGGGUAUCCUCAUUUUACAAAGAUCAAGGCAGAGAGAAGAGAAGGGACUCGCCUAGGAUCACACAAUUGACAUGUCAUCGCUGAGACCAGCAGUAAAUACACAGAUGGAUAAGACUCAAAAGAACCUACAAAUCCUGUACAAUGAAAUCACGUGGCA